rnacentral:rRNA from 1 species
AUUGAACGCUGGCGGCAUGCCUUACACAUGCAAGUCGAACGGAUUUUGGGCUUGCUCCAGAGUUAGUGGCGAACGGGUGAGUAAUGCAUCGGAACGUACCCAGUCGUGGGGGAUAACGUAGCGAAAGUUACGCUAAUACCGCAUACGAUCUGAGGAUGAAAGCGGGGGACCUUCGGGCCUCGCGCGAUUGGAGCGGCCGAUGUCGGAUUAGCUAGUUGGUGAGGUAAAGGCUCACCAAGGCGACGAUCCGUAGCUGGUCUGAGAGGACGACCAGCCACACUGGGACUGAGACACGGCCCAGACUCCUACGGGAGGCAGCAGUGGGGAAUUUUGGACAAUGGGCGAAAGCCUGAUCCAGCCAUGCCGCGUGAGUGAAGAAGGCCUUCGGGCUGUAAAGCUCUUUCAGACGGAAAGAAAUCUCUCGGGUGAAUAUCCCGGGAGGAUGACGGUACCGUAAGAAGAAGCACCGGCUAACUACGUGCCAGCCGCCGCCGUAA